AUAAUCUGGCACCUUCGGUGUCCGAGUUGUAAUCUCUAGAAAUGUUUUCCGCGUUGGACCGCACACAAGUCUGUUGGAAUACAGCGGCAUAGUGGUGAGACCCCCGUAUAUGGUGCGGACGCCCAGCGCUUUGUGAUACAUUUUCGAAGAGUCGAGUUGUUUGGGAAUGCAGCUCAAAUUGGGUGGUAAAUUCCAUCUAAAGCUAAAUAUUGGCGAGAGACCGAUAGCGAACAAGUACCGUGAGGGAAAGAUGAAAAGCACUUUGGAAAGAGAGUUAACAGUACGUGAAAUUGUUGGAAGGGAAACGCUUGAAGUCAGACUUGCUUGCCGAGCAAUCGGUUUGCAGGCCAGCAUCAGUUUUCCGGGAUGGAUAAUGGUAGAGAGAAGGUAGCAGUUUCGGCUGUGUUAUAGCUCUCUGCUGGAUACAUCUUGGGGGACUGAGGAACGCAGU
rnacentral:rRNA from 1 species